UACGAAGGGGGCUAGCGUUGCUCGGAAUUACUGGGCGUAAAGGGCUCGUAGGCGGCCAACUAAGUCAGACGUGAAAUCCCUCGGCUUAACCGGGGAACUGCGUCUGAUACUGGAUGGCUUGAAUCCGGGAGAGGGAUGCGGAAUUCCAGGUGUAGCGGUGAAAUGCGUAGAUAUCUGGAGGAACACCGGUGGCGAAGGCGGCAUCCUGGACCGAAAUUGACGCUGAGGCGCGAAAGCCAGGGGAGCAAACGGG
rnacentral:rRNA from 1 species